rnacentral:rRNA from 1 species
AACGAACGCUGGCGGCAGGCUUAACACAUGCAAGUCGAGCGCCCCGCAAGGGGAGCGGCAGACGGGUGAGUAACGCGUGGGAACGUACCCUUUGCUACGGAAUAGCUCCGGGAAACUGGAAUUAAUACCGUAUGUGCCCUACGGGGGAAAGAUUUAUCGGCAAAGGAUCGGCCCGCGUUGGAUUAGCUAGUUGGUGGGGUAACGGCCUACCAAGGCGACGAUCCAUAGCUGGUCUGAGAGGAUGAUCAGCCACAUUGGGACUGAGACACGGCCCAAACUCCUACGGGAGGCAGCAGUGGGGAAUAUUGGACAAUGGGCGCAAGCCUGAUCCAGCCAUGCCGCGUGAGUGAUGAAGGCCUUAGGGUUGCAAAGCUCUUUCACCGGAGAAGAUAAUGACGGUAUCCGGAGAAGAAGCCCCGGCUAACUUCGUGCCAGCAGCCGCAGUAACAC